rnacentral:rRNA from 1 species
CCUGGCUCAGGAUGAACGCUGGCGGCGUGCCUAAUACAUGCAAGUCGAACGCUUCACUUCGGUGAAGAGUGGCGAACGGGUGAGUAAUACAUAAGUAACCUGGCAUCUACAGGGGGAUAACUGAUGGAAACGUCAGCUAAGACCGCAUAGGUGUAGAGAUCGCAUGAACUCUAUAUGAAAAGUGCUACGGGACUGGUAGAUGAUGGACUUAUGGCGCAUUAGCUUGUUGGUAGGGUAACGGCCUACCAAGGCGACGAUGCGUAGCCGACCUGAGAGGGUGACCGGCCACACUGGGACUGAGACACGGCCCAGACUCCUACGGNAGGCAGCAGUAGGGAAUUUUCGGCAAUGGGGGAAACCCUGACCGAGCAACGCCGCGUGAAGGAAGAAGUAAUUCGUUAUGUAAACUUCUGUCAUAGAGGAAGAACGGUGGAUAUAGGGAAUGAUAUCCAAGUGACGGUACUCUAUAAGAAAGCCACGGCUAACUACGUGCCAGCAGCCGCGGUAAUACGUAGGUGGCGAGCGUUAUCCGGAAUUAUUGGGCGUAAAGAGGGAGCAGGCGGCACUAAGGGUCUGUGGUGAAAGAUCGAAGCUUAACUUCCGUAAGCCAUGAAACCCGUAGAGCUAGAGUGUGUGAGAGGAUCGUGGAAUCCCAUGUGUAGCGGUGAAAUGCGUAGAUAUAUGGAGGAACACCAGUGGCGAAGGCGACGAUCUGGCGCAUAACUGACGCUCAGUCCCGAAAGCGUGGGGAGCAAAUAGGAUUAGAUACCCUAGUAGUCCACGCCGUAAACGAUGAGUACUAAGUGUUGGGUGUCAAAGCUCAGUGCUGCAGUUAACGCAAUAAGUACUCCGCCUGAGUAGUACGUUCGCAAGAAUGAAACUCAAAGGAAUUGACGGGGGCCCGCACAAGCGGUGGAGCAUGUGGUUUAAUUCGAAGCAACGCGAAGAACCUUACCAGGUCUUGACAUCGAUCUAAAGGCUCCAGAGAUGGAGAGAUAGCUAUAGAGAAGACAGGUGGUGCAUGGUUGUCGUCAGCUCGUGUCGUGAGAUGUUGGGUUAAGUCCCGCAACGAGCGCAACCCCUGUUGCCAGUUGCCAGCAUUAAGUUGGGGACUCUGGCGAGACUGCCGGUGACAAGCCGGAGGAAGGCGGGGAUGACGUCAAAUCAUCAUGCCCCUUAUGACCUGGGCUACACACGUGCUACAAUGGACAGAGCAGAGGGAAGCGAAGCCGCGAGGUGGAGCGAAACCCAUAAAACUGUUCUCAGUUCGGACUGCAGUCUGCAACUCGACUGCACGAAGAUGGAAUCGCUAGUAAUCGCGAAUCAGCAUGUCGCGGUGAAUACGUUCUCGGGCCUUGUACACACCGC